GAUGAACGCUGGCGGCGUGCCUAAUACAUGCAAGUCGAGCGAACGGACGAGAAGCUUGCUUUUCUGAUGUUAGCGGCGGACGGGUGAGUAACACGUGGAUAACCUACCUAUAAGACUGGGAUAACUUCGGGAAACCGGAGCUAAUACCGGAUAAUAUUUUGAACCGCAUGGUUCAAAAGUGAAAGACGGUCUUGCUGUCACUUAUAGAUGGAUCCGCGCUGCAUUAGCUAGUUGGUAAGGUAACGGCUUACCAAGGCAACGAUGCAUAGCCGACCUGAGAGGGUGAUCGGCCACACUGGAACUGAGACACGGUCCAGACUCCUACGGGAGGCAGCAGUAGGGAAUCUUCCGCAAUGGGCGAAAGCCUGACAGAGCGACGCCGCGUGAGUGAUGAAGGUCUUCGGAUCGUAAAACUCUGUUAUUAGGGAAGAACAUAUGUGUAAGUAACUGUGCACAUCUUGACGGUACCUAAUCAGAAAGCCACGGCUAACUACGUG
rnacentral:rRNA from 1 species